UUAUUAAUGAUUAUUAAAGUAUUAUAAAUAUAAUAUAUAUAUAUAAAUAUAUAAUUAAUAAUAUAUUUUUUUUUUAAAGAUUAUAUUAAAAUUUUUACGUUAAUUUACUUAUAAAUAAUAUAAAAAUAAUGGAUUUAUAUAAAUAAAACUUUUAAUAAGAAAAUACAUGACUAAAAUUGGGGUUUCCUACUUAAUUUUGAAAACAUUAUAAUUUUUAAAGGAAAAAUUUUUAAAAAUUUAAAAAUAUUUUUUUCUUUUAGAUUUUAUUUAAAUUUAUUUAAAUUUUAAAAUUUUGUUUCAAAAUUAGGUAUUUUUAAAAUUUUUAAAUUUUAGAAUAUAAAAUAAUUAAAAUUAAUUUUUAAGUAAAAUCUCAAUUAAAGAUUAAAAUUUAGAUUAUAAGAUUUAAAUACACUGUAAUUUUAAAAGAUAAUUUAAAAAUUUAAAAUUUUAAAUUAAAAAAAAUCUAUUUGGGGCUUAAUUUUAAUUUAAAUUUAUAUAGGAAAUUUUGGUUAUUUUGUUUUAUCAAAAAAAAAUUACUAGUAAAAUUAAUUAGUAUAAAUUUUUGUAUAAAAAUAUUCAUGAAUGUCUGGCGUAUAGCUCCUUAAUUUUAAUUUUUUAUAGUUAUAAUAGUUAAUUUCUGUAAAAUUGGGGGGUAAAAUUAUCUUAAAAAAAAAUUUUUUAAAAAAAUUAUGGCUUGAUAAAAUUUUAAAAAUUUAAUUUAAAAUUAAGGAGAAAAAGUUAAAAA
rnacentral:rRNA from 1 species